UCUUAGGUUGCCCAUGGAAGCAAUCGAAGGCUGGGAAGUGAAGGUGUGGACGCGGGGACGGGAAAAAUGGAGGGCAAGGCUGCAAGUUACCUGUGUCCUGUUUGUUUUUUCUGGGCAAUUUUAGUUCUUUCUGCUCCUUCAUGCCUGUGCCUGGAGAGCCCCCUGGACUGCCUCUCCCCCACUCAGCAUGCCUUUUUCACCUCCUUGGCCACGGCCACUUGCUCCGAGGCAGAGCACACGGAGCUUCUGAACUGACAAGAUCCUCAUCUAAUAAAUGGUGGAGAAGAUUAGUCACGACAGGGCUCAGAUGUGAACCUAUUUUCCUGCAGGCUGAGACUCCUGCUUAAGAUCCACUGGGGGUUAUUAGCGGAGCCUGUAAGAUGUUGGCUAUGCAGAGUGAUGUGAUAUGUCGGCGGUGCGGGAAUAUCAAUGCUCGGCCCGAAUUCAGUGGAGAGAGGCAGAGCCGAGGAUGCUUGGGGGGCGGGGAGGGACACCUGAUUCUCGGCCCCCACUUGACCAACGGCAGAGUUCACUGCACAGCGUCGGGUGCGGGUGUCUGGCCGGCAGAGGGAGGCACAGAUGUGGAGUGGGCCAGGAGGGGCUGCUUUGAAGACUGUGCCUGGGGGGUGGGGGGGUGAGCAUUUCAUCUUCGUUCACUGUUCACUGGAACCAUCCGACUUCACGUACCAACACUGAGUGCUUCCUCUGUGCUGGGCAACCCCUCUCUCCGAACAUCACGGCACCUGCCGCUUAUCUUAAGCACCCAUUUCAUUCUUCCUGGAGUGAUAGCCAGCUUUUUAUAAUCAUCCACUGGGUUCUAAGUUUCUUGAGAUCAGAGACUCUAUCUGACUCAUCCCUGGCCUUUGAGCCUUGCAAGAAUAAGUACCUAGCAUGCAUUUGCUGAAUAAAUGAAUUAAUGAAUCAAG